UCUUCCCCACGCACGCCACCUGCUCUCUCUACGUUCCCUCUCCCACACACCUCCUUACGUGACCCCACCUCGCGCCCCCGGUGUUGCGCCGACACCUCCUCCCUCCGUCGCCCCAGGUCCAUAAAGGCGGGGAUCGUGGUGAUUUUGAGUAGGGCGGCAGGUGGCUAAGGAGUGAGAGGUGGGUGGCUAGAUCGGGCGGUCAUGUGUCGGCGCGCCAACCUCGGCCUUGCGGAUGUCGAAGUGGCGGCGGUGGCCAGGCUUGUUGGUGUCGCGAUGGUAAUUAACGUGCUCGGAGGAGCUUGAUCGGUGGCCAAGUAGUCCCCAAUGAUGGCAAGACGCCAAGAUCAGGCAUCAGCACUACCAAAGGUGCGCUGCGCAUGUCUCUCCCCACCCUCGCCCGGCCCCGUUUCCCCCUCCCACGCGCACUUGGUAUGGCCCACUUCAUCCCCGCCAAUGAGCUUGGCGGCCUCGGCGACUACGCAUCGAGCACUUUGAGCGGCAUGUCUCCACUUCUCAGGGAAGUGGAUCGCGUCGGCCUGGGUUUGGCCUUGUCAAGAAGGCGGUAGUGGGAAACUAGUUGUAAUCUGCUCUAUCCGCCCCUUACAAUUUGGCCAUGUAUUGUGCUUGCUUGUACCUAUUGGACGAGAAAAGGAUGGAGAGUUCGUGGUGAUUCAUUUUACUCCUAUAUUAAUACUUGUUAUGCAUGUAAACAUUUGGAAGUAUGCUAAUCAGGAGGUGUUGCAUGAAAUUGGUAUUGUCCAUUCAACAAAUGGUGAUUUUAAUCAAUUGUUUCUCUCAUAAGGAUCAUCACAAGAUGGGAGUCAGUCUAGUGUUGCUCUACUCUUUUCUGCAGUAAAGGAAAAUGGUUAUCAACCAAUAUUCCUUAGUGCUAGAGCCGUUGUCCAGGCAUAUUUGACAAAAACUUCCUCUUCAAUCUAAAACAGUUAUCCUUUUGCAAUUUUGCGGGAUGGGAAAGUACUGCCUAAUGGACCUGUUGUAAUUCCACUGGAUGGAUUGUUCAUGUCGCUCUUCCAGAAGACGUCUUGCACAUUCAGCUUUUUGUGCGUAGUCUCACUAUGUCAUGUGAGUACCGGUGAAAGUGAUGCACUGAAAAUGAAAUUUGUUCUCUUUUUUUUCUCCCUUUAAAUUAGCCGCUCAAGAAAUCUGAUAAGCACCACGUUGGUUCGGGGCUUGGUGCUAGAUAUGUUAGCACCCAUUUAUCCUGGACAUGUACUGUAUUCUCAGAUCUAUAUAGUUUGUUGCUCUUGUUUUUUUAUGUUGGAGCUACAGAUGCAUCUCGGCCAUUUCGGGAAACUGAGAUAUGCAUCUUCAACUUAUAGUUUGCUGAAUUGGGUUAUUUAUGAGAAGAAUCCUACAUGAUACAGCCAUUUCAGUUUCAAUUUCAAUAUAUGUUACUAAUAAUUUCA